rnacentral:lncRNA from 12 species
CUUUAGCUCAGGUCAUGAUCCCAGGGUCCUGGGAUAGAGCCCCGAAUUGGGUUCCCUGCUCAGCGGGGAGCCUGCUCCUCCCUCUGCCCCGCCCCUUCCCCCCAUUCCCUACUCCCACCCUCUCUUUUUCUCUCAAAUAAAUAAAUAAAAUCUUUAUUAAAAAAAAAACAUAUAUACCUCAGGUACUUUUGCUAUUGAAGAAUCGCCAGUUGGGUGCCUUGCUAGCAUCUUCCCAGUUCUUUUCUCUAAAGCCCUUAAAUAAAGAUCAGUGGGAAAGGGGUCUGUGGUCUCAUUGUCACCGGUGUCUGCCAAGGAAACUGUAUCCAUUCAUUUACUAAUUCAUUUACUCCACUGAAUGAUAUUCACUGUCUUGUUGCAGUGGGUGCUGGUGCUGGGAGAGGGUCGUGUGCUUCCUUCCUGCUCUCAGGAAGCUUCGGAAGGACGAGUGCAAGACAGGCAAAGCUCACCCAGCUUACUGUUGGUUUGGGUGGUCUGAGUGCAGCCCGAAGACAGCACAAAGGAGACAGUGGCUUCCGCCUGGAGGGCGCGCUGACGGCAGCCUCCCUGCCAGAAAGUAGGAUUUGGACAGGAAGAGGAAUCUUCUGGACCCAUGUCCUUUCUCAAAGAGGCGAGCGGCAUCCAGGGGGAAGCCUGAGGCAUGAGAUGCACAGUGGUGACGUCUCAUGACGUCAGAAGGAAAGAGUGCUGCCUUGUUUCUCUUUGCUGGUUCAAAGGCUACCAAGUGCUCAUCAGUAAAGCAGAAAUUUCGUACUCCAAAGCCCUACACUUCUAUAUUUAUUUGAACCAACUCUGGACUGUGGGCUGUAGGGAUUAGUCAGUUUUUAAUCUCUUUGGGCUUCUUGCCCCAGUGUUCCCUGGCUCAGCAGCUGCCCAAAGACAAAUAUAGCCGGAUGGUUGGAAGCAUCCUUGGAAGUCCCUGAGAGGCCCGGAGAGGAAGUCUCUCAGGCCACACGAAUGGCCCUGCUGUGCUAAGCCUGGGACCAGCAGCAAAGCUCUCCUGCAGUGCUGUGGGGUGCAUGCAGCUGAGGUGUAGGGAGAGGCUGGGGACAGGGAACAGGGAGGUUUCUGGGUGGCACGAGUUUGUAGAGAAGGGGUGGUGACGCUAGUGUGUUUGAAACUUCAACUGUGAACACAACCUGGGAAUCUUGUGGCAAUGCGAGUUCUGACUCAGUGGGUCUGGGGAAGGGCCUGAAAUGCUACAUAGCAGACAAACGCC